rnacentral:rRNA from 1 species
GUCGAGAAUCUUCCGCAAUGCGCGAAAGCGUGACGGAGCGACACCGCGUGAUGGAUGAAGUCCUUCGGGGCGUAAACAUCUUUUAUAAAGGAGGAAAUUUUUGACGUUACUUUAUGAAUAAGGGGCUCCCAAUCUCGUGCCAGCAGGAGCGGUAAUACGAGAGCCUCAAGCGUUAUCCGGAAUCAUUGGGCGUAAAGGGUGCGUAGGUGGUUUGUUUAGUCUCCCGUUAAAACUUCGAGCUUAACUCGAAAAGAGCGGGGGAAACGGUCAAACUAGAGUAUGUGAGAGGUGUGUGGAAAUCAUGGUGUAGGGGUGAAAUCCGUUGAUAUCAUGGGGAACACCAAAAGCGAAGGCAGCACACUGGCACAUCACUGACACUGAGGCACGAAACCUAAGGUAGCGAAUGGGAUUAGAAACCCUGGUAGUCC